AAACCAAGUUAACUAUGGAAGUACUAAAUAUGAGUUAAGUUGGUCCCAAAAAUUCGUCAAAUUAAAUUGAAAAUAGUGGUUGAAAAGUGCGUUUUAAAACAGCUUAAAGAACUUUUAAAAAAAGGAAUAUUAUCGUUGUUUUUUCAAUAAGAUCACAGUUUAUAUAAGUUUUUAAUACACCUGGAAAUACCACAACAAACGAAUCUAUUCACGCGUCGAAUCAUGAUUUUGUUAACAUUCAAAACGCACACACAAAUAAAAACAGGCCUCAGAUUUUAAAUGUAACAUUAAUUAAAAAUCCGAGAUAUCCAAUUAUGAGUGAGUGAAUUAAUUGAGUUUAGUUAUUUAGCUUAGAAAGAAUUUCUUUUAUUUUUGUUAUUAUUGGCAGUAAUCAGAUAAAGCUGUUUUUUUAUCUUAUUCACCUGAUAUCUUACUCUUGCUCAAAGAUUAUUUUGAAAAUGUUGAUUAAAUAAAAUUGUAUUAUUGCA